UACGUAUGGUGCAAGCGUUAUCCGGAUUUACUGGGUGUAAAGGGAGCGCAGGCGGCACGGCAAGCCUGAUGUGAAAGCCCGCGGCCCAACCGCGGGACUGCAUUGGGAACUACCGGGCUGGAGUGCCGGAGAGGUAGGCGGAAUUCCUAGUGUAGCGGUGGAAUGCGUAGAUAUUAGGAGGAACACCAGUGGCGAAGGCGGCCUACUGGACGGUGACUGACGCUGAGGCUCGAAAGCGUGGGGAGCAAACAGG
rnacentral:rRNA from 1 species